rnacentral:lncRNA from 1 species
GCAAAAUUGCUGAGUCCCGUAUCUUCAACUCAAUGGAUUGCUACAUGGCCAGUCACUAAGAGGGUUAAAAUAUGAAUUUGACCAUGCCAUUACCAAUUUAUCCUGUCCUGCAAACCUGGUGCAGGAAUAUUCAACUUGAAGAAAAAUGCAGAUUCAGCUGUGAGAAACACCACCACUCCUUUCUCUAGGAUGGCAGGAGCACGAGAUCACAGUAACUAGGUAGGUACACUUAACAUAUAACUUGAGCAUUUUUCAGGGUGAUAUGAGGAUGAAGAUAC